rnacentral:rRNA from 1 species
GAUGAACGCUGGCGGCGUGCUUAACACAUGCAAGUCGAGCGAAGCGCUUAAGUUUGAUUCUUCGGAUGAAGACUUUUGUGACUGAGCGGCGACGGGUGAGUAACGCGUGGGUAACCUGCCUCAUACAGGGGGAUAACAGUUAGAAAUGACUGCUAAUACCGCAUAACCCGAUAGGAUCGCAUGAUCCAGACGGAAAAGAUUUAUCGGUGUGAGAUGGACCCGCGUCUGAUUAGCUAGUUGGUGAGGUAACGGCCCACCAAGGCGACGAUCAGUAGCCGGCCUGAGAGGGUGAACGGCCACAUUGGGACUGAGACACGGCCCAA